rnacentral:tRNA from 1 species
AGUUAAUAAGCAAAAGCAUUAUAUCUUGAAAAUAUAAAAAAAAUCUAAAUUGAUUUAUUAACUU